CGACCACGUUGAUAGGCUGGAUGUGUAAGAGUAGCGAUACUCUCAGCUGACCAGUACUAAUCGGCCGUUCGACUUGACCAU
rnacentral:rRNA from 1 species